rnacentral:tRNA from 1 species
GGAAAGGUGGCAGAGUGGUUGAAUGCGGCGGUCUCGAAAACCGUUGUUCCGGUUUCCCGGAACCGGGGGUUCGAAUCCCCCCCUUUCCG